rnacentral:ncRNA from 1 species
CCUCAGAAUGGUUGGAAAUCAUUCGCAGAGUGUAAAGGUAUAUAGGUAGCUUAACUGCGAGACUUACAAGUCAAGCAGAUACGAAAGUAGGGCUUAGUGAUCAGGCGAUUCAGUAUGGAAUGGUCGUCGCUUAACGGAUAAAAGUUACCCCGGGGAUAACAGGCUGAUACCACCCAAUAGUUCACAUAGACGGUGGUGUUUGGCACCUCGAUGUCGGCUCGUCACAUCCUGGAGGUGGAGUUGCUUCCAAGGGUUGGGCUGUUCGCCCAUUAAAGUGGCACGCGAGCUGGGUUCAGAACGUCGUGAGACAGUUCGGUCCCUAUCCGUCGUGGGCGUAGGAAAAUUGAGAGGAGUUGUUCUUAGUACGAGAGGACCAGAAUGAACAUACCUCUGGUGUAUCUGUUGUCACGCCAGUGGCAGUGCAGAGUAGCUAUGUAGGGAAGGGAUAAACGCUGAAAGCAUCUAAGCGUGAAGCCCCCUCUAAGAUGAAUUUUCCCAUUAUGUAAAUAAGUAAAAUCCCACAAAGACUAUGUGGUAGAUAGGCUAGAAGUGGAAGUGUAGCGAUACAUUGAGCGGACUAGUACUAAUAGAUUGAGGGUUUAAUCCCA